UACGUAGGGUGCGAGCGUUAAUCGGAAUUACUGGGCGUACAGCGUGCGCAGGCGGUUCGUUGUGUCGGCGGUGAAAGCCCCGGGCUCAACCUGGGGAUGGCCGUUGAAACUGGCGAACUGGAGUGUGGCAGAGGGGGGUGGAAUUCCGCGUGUAGCAGUGAAAUGCGUAGAGAUGUGGAGGAACACCGAUGGCGAAGGCAGCCUCCUGGGCCAGCACUGACGCUCAUGCACGAAAGCGUGGGGAGCAAACAGG
rnacentral:rRNA from 1 species